rnacentral:rRNA from 1 species
UACGUAGGGUGCGAGCGUUGCCCGGAUUUAUUGGGCGUAAAGGGCGCGUAGGCGGCUCGGCACGUCCGUUGUGAAAUCGCCCGGCUCAACUGGGCGGGGUCAGCGGAUACGGCCGAGCUUGAGCAAGCUAGGGGGCAAUGGAAUUCCCGGUGUAGUGGUGGAAUGCGUAGAUAUCGGGAGGAACACCAGUGGCGAAGGCGGGUCUCUGGGCCGAAAUUGACGCUGAGGAGCGAAAGCGUGGGGAGCAAACAGG